rnacentral:misc_RNA from 1 species
AUGAAGUUGGAAGUAAUGAAAUAUUUGACUUUUGGAGAGAGGCGGUUGGCGAUACAAAGAGUGACUGUUGCCACACAGGGCUCACUCGUAACAAUACGGGAAAAGAUGCAAAAUUCGACAAUGCGCAAAAAUGGAAAUGAGAUUAGCAGACAAAAUUCCAAAUUCGUUUGACUACGUGGAGCUUAAAAAAAAAUUGGAAGUCUGCCUACAAAUCAAUACUAUCCCUAUAGAAAGUCUCACAUUUCACGGAACACGGGCGGUUCACGAACUUUGUCGAAUUUUCGAAAAUCCAAGCACAACUGCCAAAAAAGUGAUUAUUUAUAUGCCUGAAACUCCCGAACAAGUGUUUUCAACUUUAAUCUCGGAAUUUGAAACUCGAGAAGUAAAAAUUAAGGGGAAAGAGAUAAUGUUUCGAAAAAAUGCUGAAAAUUCCAGUUGGGCUGCGCAAAUUUUGGCACUUUUCAAGGAAGGUUAUCUGGAGAAAAUCUACGUGGAUUGUGUAACCGGUGCCAUUUUUGAGAAAUUAGUUGAACUGGAGCAAUUCAAAAUGUGCAAGUACAUAAAAUUGGAAGCAAGGGUUCUGUCGGAGCAACAACUAUUAAAAUUCGAUUCAUCUUUCAAAGUUAACUAUGAUUUCCUGCAACAUGCCGAACGGUUAGAGUUGUCGCUUUGUGAUUUGGAGCCCGAGGAUGCUUGGGAAAUUAUAAAGAAUUUCCGCUCGAGACCACAACUUCCUAUUAACUCGUUUUUCAAAAUUUUCGUGGAUAAUUAUGUAAAGAGUGGGAAAAUUGUUCGCUUGUUUGAUGUUCAGCCAAAAAACGAGGAAGAGAUUGCAGAAAUUACUUGCUUUGAACACGUUCAACUCUUCGACAUGGAAGAUCGGAACAAACUUCUGGUGGUUGGUAUGUGGCGCCGUGUUCUAUAUGGAUCCAUCUGCCGUCGUGAUUGUAUUUUGAAGGAUUUUGACCGUAACCGUUAA